rnacentral:misc_RNA from 1 species
AACGCACAUUGCGCCCACUGGUAUUCCGGUGGGCAUGCCUGUUCGAGCGUCAUUAUCCUCCCUCAAACCUCGGGUUUGGUGUUGGACCCAAGUUGUGUGAACAACUGGUCUCAAAGACAAUGACGGCGUCCGUGGGACCCUCGGUGCAACGAGCUUUUUAAACGAGCACGCGUCGAGUUUCAAGGACCUUCCGGGCCGGUCUCCUUCUUUUAUUUACAAAGGUUGACCUCGGAUCAGGUAGGAAUACCCGCUGAACUUAA